rnacentral:rRNA from 1 species
UACGUAGGGGGCAAGCGUUGUCCGGAUUUAUUGGGCGUAAAGAGCGUGUAGGCGGCUUUACAGGUCCGUUGUGAAAACUCGAGGCUCAACCUCGAGACGCCGGUGGAAACCGUAAGGCUAGAGUCCGGAAGAGGAGAGUGGAACUCCUGGUGUAGCGGUGGAAUGCGCAGAUAUCAGGAAGAACACCAACGGCGAAGGCAGCUCGCUGGGACGGUACUGACGCUGAGACGCGAAAGCGUGGGGAGCGAACAGG